rnacentral:rRNA from 1 species
GGGGGCCCGCACAAGCGGCGGAGCAUGCGGAUUAAUUCGAUGCAACGCGAAGAACCUUACCAAGGCUUGACAUGGACCGGACCGGGCUGGAAACAGUCCUUCCCCUUUGGGGCCGGUUCACAGGUGGUGCAUGGUUGUCGUCAGCUCGUGUCGUGAGAUGUUGGGUUAAGUCCCGCAACGAGCGCAACCCUCGUUCCAUGUUGCCAGCGCGUAAUGGCGGGGACUCAUGGGAGACUGCCGGGGUCAACUCGGAGGAAGGUGGGGACGACGUCAAAUCAUCAUGCCCCUUAUGUCUUGGGCUUCACGCAUGCUACAAUGGCCGGUACAAAGGGUUGCGAUACUGUGAGGUGGAGCUAAUCCCAAAAAGCCGGUCUCAGUUCGGAUUGAGGUCUGCAACUCGACCUCAUGAAGUCGGAGUCGCUAGUAAUCGCAGAUCAGCAACGCUGCGGUGAAUACGUUCCCGGGCCUUGUACACACCGCCCGUCAAGUCACGAAAGUUGGUAACACCCGAAGCCGGUGGCCUAACCCCUUGUGGGAGGGAGCUGUCGAAGGUGGGACUGGCGAUUGGGACUAAGUCGUAACAAGGUAACCGUAAGGGC